rfam:Gallus gallus isolate RJF #256 breed Red Jungle fowl, inbred line TCD001 chromosome 26, whole genome shotgun sequence.
UUCUGUUGUCCUUCAUUCCACCGGAGUCUGUCUCGUACCUAACCAGAUUUCAGUGGAGUGAAGCACAAGAGACA